rnacentral:rRNA from 1 species
ACUCAAAGGAAUAGACGGGGGCCCGCACAAGCAGUGGAUUAUGUGGUUUAAUUCGAAGCAACGCGAAGAACCUUACCAGGUCUUGACAUCGUGCGCAUAGGGUAGAGAUACCUGAAGCCCUUCGGGGCGCAUAGACAGGUGGUGCAUGGUUGUCGUCAGCUCGUGUCGUGAGAUGUUGGGUUAAGUCCCGCAACGAGCGCAACCCUUACGAUUAGUUGCUACGUUAAGAGCACUCUAAUAGGACUGCCGUUGACAAAACGGAGGAAGGCGGGGAUGACGUCAAAUCAUCAUGCCCCUUAUGACCUGGGCGACACACGUAAUACAAUGGCGGUCAACAGAGGGAAGCCAAGCCGCGAGGUGGAGCGAAUCCUCAAAAGCCGUCUCAGUUCGGAUUGCAGGCUGCAACCCGCCUGCAUGAAGUCGGAAUUGCUAGUAAUCGCGGAUCAGCAUGCCGCGGUGAAUACGUUCCCGGGCCUUGUACACACCGCCCGU